UGCAUCCAGCAACAUAAUUUGCUACAUCCAUCAUCUAUUUUUGUUUGAACCAACACCAGCUCGGAUGGCCACACGACAUCAUCGGAGUUACUACCAUGGGCAGCUCGGGAUGCUGCAACCGGCGGCCGAGGUUGCCAUGACCACGCCGACAACGCUACGAACGACUACAUGAUGCUUGGGAAGACGACAUCUCCUUACUGCAUCGGACGCAGCAGGCCUGCUUGCAAUGAGGGCGACCUGUUGAAGGACAAGAGCAGAUAGCCGGCGAGCGCGGGCGGCCGGGGCGAUGAGCGCGGGUGGCCGGGGCGAUGAGCGCGGGUGUGCUGUUGGCCAGCAAGGACGGGCAGCCAAGGACGAGCACCGGCAGCGGCGAGCGUGGAGUCUGCCAUGGAUGGGAGCUGUUGGUCAACGCAGAGCCAGAUGCCAAGAGGAGAAGCUAAUAGGGGGAAAUUAACGGUUGGAGGUGGCCUAAUCCUACGGCUGGGGGCCGACCGGCCGAAAAUUUCGGCCGGCGCGCCGGCGCCUAGCAGUCGCCUUACAUAAAACGUUUCGUAAAGCAAAAGCAGCAGCGACAUGCAACAGGCCAAGGAUCAGCGACUGGACAUGCCCCGUUCGCCGCCCGCCCAUGGCUGGACCAAAUUAAAUAUAGAUGGGAGCUACAUCAAUGAAACAACGGCGGCUGGUGGUGGAAUGGUGCUACGUGGCGACACCGGUUCUAUUAUCUUUACUGCAUGCAGGCAGAUCACCACAUGUGAUGACGGACUAGAGGCAGAGCUCAUGGCGUGCAGAGAAGGCCUUGAUCUUGCUCUUCAUCGGACCGGAUUACCCAUUACGGUCGAGUUCGACUGCGCUCAGGCAGUCUUGAUGCUAAAUACGAGUCAUGGGUACCGCUCUCCAUAUAGGACUCUUGUGUGUGACAUUCAGUUACUGAUUUCUGAGAACCCAUGGGAGAUUUCAA